UGUUCCACAAAGCAGCUUAUGGAAAGGAGAUUCUUUUUUUUAAUUAAUUAAUUUAUUUACUUAAAAAGUGUUUUGCCUGCAUGUACACCUGCACGUCAGAAGAGGGCACCUGGUCUUAUGUGGUCUACUCCCAACGAAGACUGACUGCAUGACGUCUCAUUGCUGGUGACCUGAAACAUGAAACCAAGAAGAAGAUGGGGAACAGAAGGAAGAGGGCUCAGGUGGACAUGAGAUUCAAACAUGCUUGCUACAGCUGUGCUGUGAUCCUGGCUCUGCUGCAUUCCAUCAAGAGAUUGAACAAAUAUGAAUUUAACUUUCCAGAUCUGAGUUUCCACUUUCCUAUGAACCCAAGAUAAAAAUGAAUGCCUUACAGAACUGUUAAAAAAUUACAUUGGGAGAGGAAGCUGGGAUUGACAUGUGAA